rnacentral:rRNA from 1 species
UAUGCCCCUUAUGACCUGGGCUACACACGUGCUACAAUGGCUGGACAACGAGUCGCAAGCCGGUGACGGAAGCUAAUCUCUGAAAGCCAGUCUCAGUUCGGAUUGUAGGCUGCAACUCGCCUACAUGAAGUCGGAAUCGCUAGUAAUCGCGGAUCAGCACGCCGCGGUGAAUACGUUCCGGGCCUUGUACACACCGCCCGUCACACCACGAGAGUUUGUAACACCCGAAGUCGGUGAGGUAACCGUAAGGAGCCAGCCGCCUAAGGUGGGAUAGAUGAUUGGGGUGAAGUCGUAACAAGGCAGCCGUAUCGGAA